AAAAUUACCACUAAUAUAAUGUAUAAUGAGAGUAGCAACAUACCUGCUAACCAAGGGUGACGGACGGAAUCGUACCUUCACCCUGGUCAACCCAGGCUCGGUUGAGUCCAGUCGAAGAUAACAGACUUGAAAUUAAACUUGGGACCUUAACGGACGAUUGCUUUCUAUCAUGGAUAUUUAUAUACAUUAUCGUCACGUCUUGUUAUAAAGCCAAGAACGUCACGUUUAAUGCGGCAAGACGUUGUCAUAGAGCGGAUGAUUCGGAGGGAGAAUUCAAAGGGGUGCUGGAGCCUAUCCCAGCUGUCUUCGGGCGAGAGGCGGGACUGGACUGGUCCAUUCGCCAUGAUAACAUCAAGAACAUAUCGAAUUUGGUUCCGUUUCAUUGAGCAAAUGAGGCAAAAAAAGUGCAUUUCUAGGCGGCAACCAGCAGAGGUGCUGUUGAUUCAAGUUGAACUACUACAUAACAUAGCAACAGCCACACUAUGGAAACUAACAAACAGCAUUUUUCUCUGCUCAUUGUGAUGUUGGCAUGACAACAGGAGUUCAGAACAUUCUAACAAACAUUCCAAGAAAUACAGUUAGAAUUAAUCAAUUGAUUGUGCCACCUAUCAAGGAAACAUAAUCAAAUGUCUAUUGUUGGUAUCCAACACAUGAUAAGUUACACCAUCAUUGUUAAUUUUUUUUAAAUGUAUUUUUGAUAUUUUUUAAUAAAUGUUUUGAGAUGUAAACACGGUUACUGUCAGCCAGUUAGAAAUAGAAGACAUCAUUAAGAUGAAGACUCAGGAGGACAUGGGAAUUGAGUUCUUCUCCUUUCACUACCCCGAACCAAACUCCGACAUCCAGGCUUUGUAUCUUUCCAGGUCUGCAGCGGAGACGGAUUUAGAAAUCUUCUUGAGCGUGAGGGUGAAGUCCUCCAUCUUCACCGGCAUCUGCAGCUCUUCCUUGGACAGCGCUCGGAUCUCCUCAGGGCUCAGGCCUUGAAUGCGCCGACGCAUAGCCAUCAUGGAUGCGUCCCUGAAGACGUCACCUGUUGGGAGAGGGAUGUAGAUCCGCUUCUCCAAGCGUCGCCGCAGUGCUUCAUCAAUGUCCCAGGGGAAGUUUGUGGCAGCAAGCACCAUCACCAUCUUUGAAGGGUCAUCGUUGUCCUGGGCGCCACCCACACCUACAGAAGAAAAACAUCAGAACCCAUAAUAAGUCAUGGAAUGAAAAGAUAACAUAAUGGUUCCCUUGCAUACCAUCCAUUUGAAUCAGAAGCUCAGAUUUGACCCUGCGGCUCGCUUCGUGUUCAUUCGAUGUUCCUCUCCGACUGCAGAUAGAGUCGAUCUCAUCUAUAAAGAUGGUGGUGGGCGCAUAGAAGCGUGCCUGUAUAAAUAACACACUUUUAAUGACAUUACAGUUUAUCAGUUGUGUUUUAUCGCAGUUGAAACCUAUGCAUAAUAAUUCAUAUUAAUUACCAUUUCAAAGAGCAAGCGCACCAGUUUCUCGGACUCGCCCCGGUAUUUGGAUGUGAGUGUGGAGGAAGACAUGUUAAAGAAUGUCGUCCCACAUUCUGUCGCCACGGCUUUGGCUAACAUGGUCUUUCCUGUACCUGGGGGGCCCACCAUUAACACACCCUGUGAUGAAAGAAAGUGAUUUUUACUGAGUUUUACUGAAAUAUCUAGUAUGAAAGUAAGUUGAAUAUUUAGGAGAAUAACAUUUGCAUAGUUAAUAAAUGUUUUUUUAGGGAAAACAUAUUAUAAAUUAUUAUUCAUUCAUUUUCUAACACUUAUCCUCACGAGGGUCGCCUGGUCGCCAGCCAAUCACAGGGCACAUAUAGACAAACAACCAUUCACACUCACAUUCAUACCUAUUGAAUUAACAAUUUGGAGUCGCCAAUUAACCUAGCAUGUUUUUGGAAUGUGGGAGGAAACCGGAGUACCCGGAAAAAACCCACGCAUGCACGGGGAGAACAUGCAAACUCAACACAGAGGUGGCUCAGGGUGGGAUUGAACCCGGUUCUCCUAGCUGUGAGAUCUGCACGCUAACCACUCAACCGCCGUGCAGCCUAAAUUCUCAUUAUUAUUACUAUUAUUAUUAUUAUCAUAAAUAUUAUAAAUACAGAUAUACUGUAAUAUCAUAGUAUUACAGAUUUUUUGGGGGGGAAAAUGUGUUUAAGGAAAAUGUAUUAUUUUGUAUUAAAAAAACAUUGUAAUAUUAUUAGCAUAUCACAACUGUAUUAUUUCUUUAAAUGACUGAAAUCACAAUAAAGGUGUGUGUGAAAAUUUUGGAAUUUCGUAUGGUAUAAUAUGACUUUAGUCUUGUUAAAAUUCCACUUUAAUGUCAUAAGUAUGGCCGAAGGGCCAUUUGAGCCUCCCAGCUCGUUUUUUAUUAGCCUGCAGUAGACUGUAGAAGUAAAAUUACACACAAAAAAUGCAGAAUAUUUAAUUUAUUUAUGCGUCUUUUUGGACAACU